AUGAUGAAUCAGACAUUGGACUUCAUUGGCCAAAGAAACUACAUAGCAUCCUACACCAGAAAGAGGAGGAAAGAUCAAAGAACUCAGUCCAUCCCCUUCAGGUCAAGCCUGGAGACUGGAGGAGACAGAAGGGUCAUUGACAAGUGGAAAGUUUUGAGUCUUUUCCAUGGUGGUAGCAACCAUAGAAAAUUUAUUUUUGAUAUGGAUUCCAAUAGUUUGUAAAGGAAGACUACUUAAUAGCCUAGAAUUAAUCUUUGGUGGAGAAUAUGGAAAUACUUUAUAGAUCUCAGAAAUCAAUGAAGUAGAAAGGAGACCAUCAUCUGCAAAAUGUGCAAAGUAUAUGAGGCAGCAAAUUGUUUUUAAGCCCUACAUUAUCAAACACAUAUCUAGAGGCAAGUGAGGCAAGUUUGUCAAGUUCAUAAAGCAGAGAAAAGGAGUGUUUUGUAGUGUGCUGAAGGUGUGAGUUUGAAUAGCACAUCUGUUUCUGAUUUUUUUUUUCCCUUCACAAUUCCACCAUAUUGAGUAAGUGUUUACCUGAUUACUCAGGCUUCUACAUAUAAUUUUCCUGGGUCUGGUUUACUGUUAAUGCUUGAGUUGAUAGCUGUAUGGGUAAAAUUCUUAUUAAAUGAUAUCUUGAUUUCCAUGGCGUCCCCUCCUGUCCUUUAAUUCCUGUCUUUUUUUUUUUUUUUUUUUUUUUGAAACUUAUGAUGGCAGAUAUUCUUCAUCAUUCUCCUAAUUAUUUCUCACUAUUUUUAUAAAUAUCAACGUGCCAUCUGAUCAGCCUUCAACCUCAGCUGUAUUGGCCAGGAGACAAUUGCGUAUAACUAGUAGUUUGUGGUUUUUCUUUUUCAUUCUGUUGCUUUUCACAGGACUUUGCCAGGAGCACACCCAGAGCAAUUUAUUUAUUUAUUUAUUUUUAAUUUCUUCUUAAGUUUC
rnacentral:lncRNA from 1 species